GGACAGUUGGAGGAAUCGAGCUUCAUGCUGUCCUUCUCUUCUGCCUCUGAUACAGAAUUUGAUGUUGUGGUUGGAUAUAUAGUACACAUUAUCAUGGAUGACAUGUUCCGGUUAUUAUAGAGAAAUUUUGUGGACAAGUAUUACCAGGAGUUUGAAGACAUGGAAGAAAAUCAACUCACCUACAUGCCUGCUUUUUUUAAUAAAUGUAUUUACUUGACAGAAAAGUAUCCUGAAGGACACCUACUGGAGCGGAUUGCUGGAUUUAGCACAUGGCCUUCACAAUAUUAGGCAUGAUAAAGAUGAAGGGGCUGGUGCCCUUCAUCAGACAGAAUUUGAUGCUGUGGUUGGAUAUGUAGCAGACAUUACCAUGGAUGACAUGUUCUGGUUAUUAUAGAGAAAUUCUGUGUACAAGUACUACCAGGAGUACUUGGUGCCAUAGGCCGGGGACUAGACCUAAGCGAUAGUUUAGCGGUGACUUUGUUGAGCAAAUCAUCUUCUAUGCCAGCUUCCCCGAACAAGCUGUGGCACUAG
rnacentral:lncRNA from 10 species